rnacentral:rRNA from 1 species
GACGUGGGGCGCGAGCGUUGUCCGGAUUUAUUGGGCGUAAAGAGCUCGUAGGCGGCUUGUCGCGUCGACUGUGAAAUCCCGCGGCUCAACUGCGGGUCUGCAGUCGAUACGGGCAGGCUAGAGUUCGGUAGGGGGAGACUGGAAUUCCUGGUGUAGCGGUGAAAUGCGCAGAUAUCAGGAGGGAACACCGGUGGCGAAAGGCGGGGUCUCUGGGGCCGAUAUUUGACGCUGAGGGAGCGAAAAGCGUGGGGGAGCGAACAGGG